rnacentral:lncRNA from 1 species
AUAGUUUCCAAGCCUAUCGGGGGGGAAAUGAGUGAGGAAAUCACCACCAGGCUUUUAUUGCCAAAUAUUUCUUUCCUGAGGAGGACAACGCAUUCAAACUGCUGAGUGGAGACUGGCGUUGCUCCAGCCAUAAACCAACUUAAUGAACACUAAUAGAGAACUGCAAUUAUUGUUGACUUCAAAAUGCAAACAAGAACUUUAGACACCGAUCCCUAUCAGCCGGUGAGGCCGGGCACAGAUGCCGAGCGCUGUUUUUGCCGUUGCUUAGCAAUGGAAAAUGAACUGUUCCUGUCUCUUAUCACUGAAGGUAGAGAGAGGACAAUGAGCUUUAUUGGACUGAAUAGAUAAAGUUUGAACUUUUGCCGGGAGUAUCCAUCCAAAACUAUCAUUAGAGAAAAUAGCUAUGAAUAUAGACCCACAGACCAGAGCGGAGAUUAAGGCGAAGAGAAUGGAGACUAGCGUGCAAAAUUUAAGGGGGUGCCAAAAAAAUCAGUCAUCAAGAUAGAUAUUUUAAUGCAAUAUUUUUUGAAAUCCAAAUAAACGGAAAAAGAUCCACAGUGAAUACAAUAUCAAAAUUUAAUGAUGAUAGGGUCAGUAGCGCUGAUUUUUUUCCUUUGGCCUCAGGUUCCAGUAUGGCGUGGCUCAGCCUCACACACAUUUACAACGUGGUGUUGCUUCUUCCUCUAGAGAAUGUUUGUGCUGUGAGGUAGAGGGUCUUGUCACUGGGUAAGGGGAUUCCCUUACACUGUGGGAAGAGGACCUUUCUGCAGUCCUUCAGCAGCCUCUUCCAAGACAGUGGGGAGGCAAGUGGCCUUGGGCAGGGGGUCUUCCCUAUGCUUCAGGGGCAGUGACACAGGAAGUACUAAAGAUCCAGGGCACUCCCGGAAGCUGGCCAGCUGUUUCUAAGACAAUAGGGACAGGCCCGGAGCUCACGGUUUAUGUUAAAAUCAUCUCCCCUUUUGUUUUUAGUAUUAAUAGUGAGUCUUAGAUAUUGAGAACUUUUAAGUUGAAUCAUAUGGAAUUGCCAAUAUUCAACUUUUUUUUUUUUACUUCAAAUACAUAUGGUUUAAUCUAAUAUAUGCCAAGAAUGGUAAACUGAAUAAUGGACCCCAAAGAUGUCCAUAUCCUAAUUCCUGGAACUUAUGAAUGUUACCUUAUAUGGCAAAA